rnacentral:rRNA from 1 species
UUGACCUCGGAUCAGGUAGGGAUACCCGCUGAACUUAAGCAUAUCAAUAAGCGGAGGAAAAGAAACCAACAGGGAUUGCCUCAGUAACGGCGAGUGAAGCGGCAACAGCUCAAAUUUGAAAUCUGGCCUUCGGGUCCGAGUUGUAAUUUGUAGAGGAUGUUUUGGGUACCGCCGCAGUUUAAAUUUCUUGGAACAGAAUGUCAGAGAGGGUGAGAAUCCCGUCUGGAACUGCGGUAGGGCCUAUGUAAAACUCCUUCGACGAGUCGAGUUGUUUGGGAAUGCAGCUCAAAAUGGGUGGUAAAUUUCAUCUAAAGCUAAAUAUUGGCCAGAGACCGAUAGCGCACAAGUAGAGUGAUCGAAAGAUGAAAAGCACUUUGAAAAGAGAGUUAAACAGUAUGUGAAAUUGUUGAAAGGGAAGCGCUUGCAACCAGACUUGUGUGUGGCGGUUCCCCCUUGCUUCUGCUUGGGCUACUCCGUCAUAUCCAGGCCAACAUCGGUUCUAGGGGCUGGUUAAAGGCCUUGGGAAUGUAUCUACCCCCGGGUAGACUUAUAGCCCAGGGUGUCAUGCGGCCACCCGGGACCGAGGAACGCGCUUCGGCGAGGAUGUUGGCGUAAUGGUUGUCAGCGACCCGUCUUGAAACACGGACCAAGGAGUCUAACAUCUAUGCGAGUGUUUGGGUGUCAAACCCGUACGCGAAAUGAAAGUGAACGGAGGUAGGAAGCCUUUAGGCUGCACUAUCGACCGAUCCUGAUAUUUAUGGAUGGAUUUGAGUAAGAGCAUAGCUGUUGGGACCCGAAAGAUGGUGAACUAUGCCUGAAUAGGGUGAAGCCAGAGGAAACUCUGGUGGAGGCUCGCAGCGGUUCUGACGUGCAAAUCGAUCGUCAAAUUUGGGUAUAGGGGCGAAAGACUAAUC